UUACGGUCUGUUCUAUCUGCUGCCCAGUC
rnacentral:piRNA from 1 species